UGGACCUACUGGAGCGAGUCCAGAGAGAAAAAAACCCCAAACUAUAGGGAUUUUAUUUUGUGAUCUUCCAGAUUUUGUCUUAUAUUGUAAUGUUCAUUUUCAAGUGAAGUUUCUACAUCUUACUGCAUUCAUAAAAAUGAAGAGCUUAACAGCUUUUUUUAAUUAGGACUGUGUAUGUGUUCUUGCUGAUAGAAGUAUAAAAAUAGCUUCUGUGUAUGGUGUUAGGAUGAGUGCAUUGCAGAUAUGCAUAAAAGAUUGUUACAGACUCAAAGUUCUUUCUUGAAGUUCAGCUGAUCUGUGUCUUCAGAAUUUGCUAAGCAGAAAUUUGAAUGCAGCUUUCUUGGGAGAGUAAUGGGAAGUAUAUUCCUCUGGUCAAAUGUUGCAUUUUGAUUGUUUCAGUAUGCUGUUUAUCAAGCUCUUUACAGGUGAGAUCUGCAGUUUGGGCUCAGUAGUUCUCGCCCAGGCCCAUGUGCUGACAGCAGGUUUUGCAGCAGGUCACAGGCACAGCUGAGCACUGCCACUGAGCUCUUAGCUGCACCUUGUCUAAGGAGAGGCAGAAAAAUCUGCCUGCCAAAGUCUGUUGACAGACUCCAGCUCCAGCUUGUGAAUUCGGUGCAGACAGGUGGAGUUUUAAGCAGAGCCAGAAGCUAUAGAUCUUUGCCGUGACCUACAUGUCAUCUUUACUUUUUGCUUGGCCAGAUACUGCCACUGCCCUUUCUUUAGCUUACUCUCUGGGAUGAUAACAAGUUUUGCUUUGAAUGCUACAUAAAAGUUUCUAACUGUAUUUAGGGGCCCUAAUUAUGAAGUACUGACCCUUAAAAAAGCACUUCCUAACAUGGUUAUGAGGUCUCUUGUCUUUCUCUGCAGUGUUUCAGUAUAGUCAUUAUUUUUUCCCAGGCUCAUGUAAUUACCAUUUUUCAAGGGAGGUAAGCUAAUACUUUGCCCCAUGUGUUUUGCAGACAGCUUAAAAAGAUGUGCCUUUUACUGUCUUUCUUAUUGAGUAGAGAUUGAGAGCUCCCUCUUCAGCCUGUCUGCGCCUUAAUUCAGCAAGACAGAGGACUUAGAAGCUGGAUAAUAAAGAUAAAUGAGUGAUGGGAGGAGAGACUUGGGGGUUUUUUAGCAACUUGGAGGUCAAGAAAUACUUUAGUCUGGGCUGGGACUACUUUCGCGAAGUUUGGAGACAGGCUCUCUCGUAGUCAAAAUAUGCUUGCUGGCAAGUGUCUGAAUAUGUAUACUACUACUACUACUAAUAAUAAUAAUAGAUUCUGAGAAAUUUUGUGGGACUGGCAACAAGGUAACAGUUGCAACAAUUUUAAGAUAAGCCUAAAAUGUACAUGCCUAAAGUUUACAUGCAUAAAUUUGAGGACAAGGCUAUCCCAGCCAUGUACUAAGUAGUUGAUUAGCUCUUGCUUUGUUUUAGAAUGUGUAGAGUUUGAAGGUGUGCAUGCACGUAUGUGAGAGCUCAGGAGCAGAGCUCUGGGGAGAACAUCCUUGUCGUGGAUACUGCGUGCAUGAUUGACGUAGGGGAAAAGGUCUAGAGGGGAGAAUACUGGCUGCUGAAAGCUUUGCUUACUCGCAAAGUAAGUCAACCUUUACACACAGUAGAACAGAAGAUGCUUAUAUACUAAUGUAUCAGAUACUGUGAACUUCAAUACUGCAUGUUAGCCUUUAUUUUAACACAGUGUAAGGUAAUGCAGUGCUAAUUCAUUUGGGUGCUAUCUCUGUAAGUGGUAUCUUAAAAUACAAAAGUGAAUUUGUGACUAAAGAUGUUGAUUUUUAGACUUACUGUAAAAAAUGCAGGAAAGCUAUCAGCAGUAGAAAACCUGAAAAUUUGUUGGGUUUUAGUUGUGGGUUUUUUAGCCUUUACAAAACAGUCAAACUCCCAAACAACUGUGCUAGAAUAGUCUUCAUGCACAGGGAGAGGGGUAUUGUCCUGUAGUAAUAGUUGUUACAUAUUGGAGCCUUAAAUGCAUUAAUAUUUGCCAGUCGUUACGUACAUACCCUUAUUUCAUUCAGUAUGUUCAGAAAGACAUUCCAGCUUCAUCUCUAAUGUGGGUAAUGAUAUUCUCUUAUCUUCUGGCAUAUUUUUCUUGCUCUCUGACAAUACUUACUUGAUGCAGUCUGUCCUAGUGUCCUGAUGGUAUUCUCUAGGGAGGAAAAAAAAAAAAAAAGACAUUUUGGCAGGUGGAACAGGUGGAUGUAGUUUGCUUUUUUUAUAGCUGGGGCUCUAGAUUAAUAUUUUUUUCCCCUCCUGAUUAUUCUGCAUUUGGCUCUGUUUACUAUAUGCUUACUUCAAAACCAGAUUGUUUAUGUUACUUGUAAUUCACAUAGAAAUUCCUCAGAAGUAUGUUUGUUAAAUAAUCUUUUUUUCAGAUGCUCCAGGUUUAAAAGAAAGUCUUGUCUAAAAGAAGCCAUUUUUUUACAUCUCUUAGGCCAUACAGGUUUAUUUGUGCUUAGAACACAAAAGACCCCAAAUUAUUAGCAAUUCGGGAUUAAGUAAUGUGCAAGAGUUGAUUCACAAUGUAACUACAGUUAACCUACUACAGGAUAGUGAACUGCAGUAUAAUGAAAUUAUUCUUCUCACUGAAGGGAUUUUAUCAGGAAGCAGCAUGGUAAUACUAACCACCAAAACCUGACUUGUUUGUUAAUGUUCCUAAUAUUUUGCUUGUUGCUUAAAAACAAAGGAACAUCAGAUACAUGGAAGUUUGGUGGUUUUUAAGGUAAAAGCAAUUAUUAGAAAAGGGAUCCAAAAAUCACGCAUUACAGUAAAGCAAAAUGGAAGUAGGCAAAAAUAAAUGCUGGGAGUUUGUAAUUUUGCAUUAUGUAAACAAGUGUCAUCUUAAUAAAAGCCACUCAAGUGAAGGCAUUAGGUGAAUGGAGAUGCUUUGUAUCAUAAGAUGCAGAAUAUGCCAAACAGAAAACUCCAUUUGAUCCUUUUUUUGUUAUAUGUGAAUAGGUUGUCUGGUCAGUGGAAAAAUACUUAGUAAAUGUUUUGUUUUGCCAGAGACUACAGUGAGCGCUUAAGUAGGGCAGGAUCAUUGCAGAGGCUGAAAAGUUUCUUUAUAUCCAUCUUCCUGGGUGAGAAUGUUGAGGAAAUAUUUAACAGAGACCUGUUCUAUUCAUGCAGUGAAAUGAAGUUGUUUAGGAGGCUGAGAAGGGGUCAGACAGAAAGUGGUGGCAUAGCAGUUGAUACUUCUGCAAGGAGCUUCCCUUGAAGGGCUAGACAGUGUUCAUUGAAAAGCUACAAGGAAUUUAGAAAUGCAGUGGCUGAGCAAUGGAAUAAAAUAUGCAAAUCUCAUUACGAUGCUGUUCUGGAGAACAAAUAGGGUAACAAAUAUGCUCAUCUUGUUAAACUGCUGUUGGAGUGUAUGGAUGAAAGAGAAUUGAGGAGGUGAUUCUGGAAAAUGUAAGUGUGAUUUGGUUAGUCUGUCCUACCAAUAAAACUGAUUGCAACAGUAAAUUUUAAGGUGGUUAUAAAACAACUGAAUUACUAUGUUUGGUAAACAGUCUACAUAAUAAACUAAAUUCCUUUAAGCCUCUGAGCAAAAUAACAGAUAAGAGAGUGUACGAUUAAAUUAAUUAUCCUUCCUUAGAUUCCUAGAGAAAAUCCCCUCUUAAGGUCAUUAAAAAUAAAUAAAUAAAUAAUUUUGAGCAUAAAUGAAAACUGUGUGAAUGAAAGAAGAAAAUAUGGUAGGAAUAACUGCUCUGAGUUUGUUAAUAGAAAAGCCGAUUGUGAAUACGUGGAGGGAAAAAAAGAGUGUGCUGCUUUGUCUAGUUGUGUAUCAGGUCUCAAAAAGACUGUUAUCAAAAGCUCUUUUCUGUACUCUUAGAACUGUAAGUAUCUUUUCCCUGUGAGCAAUCCUUUCAGAAGGAAAGGAGAAUGAAACAUCAUCACAAGACUUGAGAUUUAACACUUGAGCUGUUUAUUUCUGCUGAAGUGAAACCAGCAGAUUUCUAGGUCUGUGUUUCAACUGGUGCACCUCAUUAACAUCCUGGAGGAGUGAUGUUAAAAAUCCAGUAUCCAUCUCAGUUAAGAGGGUCCACCACUUGCCUUUUCCAAAACCGACAGAAAGUCAAGUCCUUCCUUUAAGCAGUGUAGAUAAGUUCCUGAAUUGACUUGUUUUGUUUCUCAUAAAAGAAAGAAGGAAUAGCUCAGUUGAUAUUUUUUUAUCAUUAUUUAUUAAAGCCUGUUCUCAGCCUUGAAAGAACAGGCAAAGCUUCAAACAACACUUUUGUUUGAUAAUGACUAAGUCCGUACAAGAGAUUCUCAAACAAUUCUAAAGAGCCCAGAUAACUGGGCAACUUCAUAUCAGCUCAGAGUUGGUGUUGUCAUUUUUAUGGUGGUAUAUGGAAAGACUAAUUUGAAAACUCAUAAGGCAUUUCUGAACUUGAAAGCUUUACCAAUUUGGGUUAGCUGGGAAGGCAAAUGAGAGGUGUAGGCUUGAUGGUAAUGCAUAUUAAAAGGGGCUAGCAUGCUUUUUUAUAGUUCUUUUUGCUUGGUGUGGAAAAAAACAGGAGAGUAGAGAGCAAUUCAUUGAGAAAAUGAAGUUAUAGGAUUGGAAGAGAGAUUAGCUGACUCUCAAGGAACUUUGUAAAAAAGAGAAGAGUAUAGGACAGCAAACAGAAGAUGGUCUGGGUUAAACAGUCUGGAAAAGGGUCUGAUUAAUGGCAAGCAUGUACACAGGCAUGGGGACUAAGCUUCAGGCAGAGUGGGAAAAGCAGUGUAGAGGCUACAGUGUGCAGACAUCUUGCUGCGUGAGCUCUGUGUUGAAGCCUGGAGCAGAAGCAAACUUGGGCUGAUCUUCCUGAAGGUGCUGCUCCUUGGCAAUUAAGCCUGCUUUGUGAAGUCAAUUAGUGAAUCACUGGUUUGGGAACUGUGCAGUCCAAAGGCAAAGAGCCUAAAUCUGUGUAAGGGGAAGUACUUUGUGGAGAAAGGAGCUGGAUUAAGUUUGUGUUUUGUUCUUAAAAAAAAACCAACAAAAGCAAUUCUCGUUUUAUUGGGAGGUUUCUUUGUCUGUAAGCAAAGGACUUUUUUGGCUCGAAGGCAAAAUUGUUCAGUUGCUCUAAAGGCACAUUACUUCUGGCAAGUCAGCUUCACCAUAGCAAAAGCUUUAAGAAAAAAAUUUGAAAUAUUGUGAUUUCACAAGCUAAGCCCUGCUUAGAGUAAGACAUUCUGUUUUGUUUCAAAAGACAAAUACAGAAAUCUGCAGAUGGGAAGCAGAAUUAUCUGGAAAUAAAAAAAAAAAAAAAAGGAAAAAUUUAUCGUUUAGGGGGAAGGCAAGUGUAUGAGAAAGUUUGGUGCCAAUUGUUAUAAUGCUUUUCUUGCUUUUCUUACAUAAGUUAUGUAUGUGAUUCUGUUUGUCUUACAGCCUAAGAACAAGGUGAUUAGCAAAUUAAAUAGAAAGGAAAGAUGUAGAAGUCAUUAGCAAAAGGAGAAAAGGAACAUUACUUCUUACAUAACAUAUAAUUAACCUAUGAAAUUCACUGCCAACCUAUACUAUUGAGGUCAAAACCAGAACAGAAUUCAAAAAUUAUUAGAAAUACAUUUGCAUAAUGAGAAAAUCCACAAUUCUAUUGUAGGAUUUUCUGUAGGUUUAAAAAGAAAGAUCCCUGGGAGUAUUGCCAGCAGCUACGUGGUUGUGAAAGGCUGGGGUAGAGAAUUGCGUGAUAAACAGGUUGUAUAAUUAUCUGGCAUUACUUGCAUUUAAGCAUAAUGUAAGCUUGACUUGACUUCUUUAUAUUCCCCUUGGAGAGCUCACCUCCCUCUCUCCUGGGUACAGAAGGAGCUUGGGGAGGUAAGCCUCAGAGAGCCCAACUGAGGCAUCGAGAGUAACCAACUCCUUCCCAGGGCGAUAGGUGUUGACAGACAUUUUUCUGUGGUUUUGUAAUAACUUGCAGUAUGAAAGGAGUUAAUAGUAUCCACUAAUUGUUAAGGCCUGGGUAUUUGUGUUCUGGAUCACGGCUGGGUUGAGUAUGUACUGUGCAUUCCAGUGCUUCAACUGAUUUCUUCUGCAGGCACAUUUUUAAAAUGUUUUGUUCAUUCUUCUUCAUAGAUUGUUUAAUUCUGAUAGAUUUGAGAUAGAGUGUCACAUAAAUCCACAGUUCUUUAUAUUCAUGUUAAUGUGAUUUUUAUUUGGGGAAGAGAGGGUGUUAAGUUUGUUCUUCAGAAUAACUAUAAUCUCUUGAGCAGUAAAAAGCUUGUUAAUUCUCGUGCAGAUAAUCCUCAAUCUCUUAAACAGACUUGACUUCACAACAAAAAUAACUGCUUAAAUGCAGAUGAUUGUAACUUUUGUUUGGGCCAGUAAAGUAUGCCUAAAAUCCAAAGGUACAGCUAACUGCAAAUUGUUUAGGAACUUUUCAUUAUCAUUGAAAAGUCAGUCUUUCAAUUAAAAACAAAAAGGACAAAUAUUUUUUAAAGUGCCGAAGCAAAGAGUUCCUGAAAACUCAGAAAUGAAGUUUGGAAGAGGAAACUAUGGCCAAGAAUGAAAAAUUAAAAACACAAAAGCCAGUAAUGUGUUAUGGCUGCACAGAGCUAUCAGAAUAGUCAAUAGAGGCAAGACAGUUCAGUAAAUAUUUUUGUUCCGUGCUUGGGAAAAAGGCAGAUACAAAGUUCACAUCAUGGGAUGUAUGAUAACAUGCUUUUAGUUUUCACAAUUAUCAAGGAGAAGGUUAUACAGUAGUUAAACUUGGCAUUUUUAAGUCAGAGACCUGAAAAACACAUAACCAUGAGCUCUGAAAGAGCAGGCCAGAGAAUUGCUGUUUGUUGUUCAUACAGAUUAUUUUUUUUAAUAGUUCUUGGAAACCAGAAAAAGUUCCAGAGAACUUGAAAAGCACCAUGUAACUGCUUUCUGAGAAAUAGAUUUAACCCUCUCAGUGACAUUAGGCUUAAACAAAAUAAUAGAAUUAUUGAGGUAACUAAUUUAAUAAAUGUAAAGGAUAGUAAUUAAAGAUAAUGAUUCCUGGUUCUCAGAACAUAAGUUUUAUCAUGUUAACUUUAAUGUUCUUGGUGUGGUUGAGAGUUUGCGUAAUAGAGUUAAAAUUAAUACAGCUGUGCAACACAGUUGGCUUUAAACUUGCAUGGUAUCUUUUUUUAGUCAACUGGGAUGAUGCAAAGUCAAUGCAGUACCUAUAAAGUAUAUAGCAGCUACUUGGUAAGUUUCAUGUAAUUGUAAAUGUUUCAGUAAUAUUGCCUUGGAAUCAGAUUUUGGUCUUUCUUAUGUAGGUUUUGAUAGCGCUGUAGGACUCUGAUGGGGGAGUCUCUAAGGCUGGAGCAGCUGGAGUCCAUCUUCCCAUGGGGAAGGGACAUCCCAGCUGCAGAAUAAACUACUGGGUUGUCCAUGCAGUGAAAAUAGUAAACUCUAGAGAAAUGUGGUAGACUGAUGAAGGAGUCAUCUCAGGCUAAGCCAUUAGUCUCCAUUUGUCAAGAAAUCCCUAGAUAACAUUAUUUGUGUUAAUAUUUGCUAAAAGCACAGACUGCAGCGUGAGUUCUCUAUAAUGAAGAGGACGGGUGACUACUGCAGAGCAAAAUGGGUCGCACCUCUGCUUCUCUUUUAACUGCAUGGUUUGGUACAGCCUGAGGAGAAGUUAUUCUCUAAGACUGAAGGCUGUAAACUGUUUUGAGAAGGCUGUUGGAAUGUAUCCUACAAAGCAGUAAAAUGGAAAAAUAAAGGUAUAUUUCAAUGAAUUUGAUAACUGAUUAUUCAAAGAGCUCCCAUAGUUACAUGAAAUCGAGGCACCUGUUUUAUCUAUAGUUGCUUAUAAGCACAGAUGGCAGUUUGAGUUUGGUCCUCAGGGUAAAACAGUGCAUGAGUUGUUGCCUUUACCCAUGGAGCAGACUGCAGUGGAUAGAGAGCUGCAGGUUUGGCUCAGGACAAUGCUACACAUCACUGUGCACCCCUGUCCUUUCCUUUCUGAGGCUGGCAGCUGCUCCUGCCGCCUUUUCCCACUCUGCAGGAGUAAAGGGUGUUCUCCUGCCUGUGCAGUCUGUGAAAAGCCAAUUCCCUCUGGAAAGUCAAUUUAAAUGAAUGAAGUCUGUUCUCUUCAUUCCUCCAUCAUGGCAUUGUUGGUUACUGGGCAUCCAGUUUCAUUUGGGGACCUAAUUCAAGCUUUUUUUUUUUUGAGCGUUGGCAUCUGUUGCCUCUUUCAGCCAGUAUGAAAUCCUCUCACAAAAAAAAAA